rnacentral:ribozyme from 1 species
AACAAGAAAAGUGGAAAAAUGCUGAGAAAAAAAGAGUUGGAAGUUAAUGAGUUGUCCCUUUUUGGCUACCGGGUUGCCUCAGCCUUGUUACGUUUCUUUUUCUGUUUUUUUUUUUUU